rnacentral:piRNA from 1 species
CACUCGGGAGGCUUAGGCAGGCAGAUCU